rnacentral:rRNA from 1 species
UACGAAGGGGGCUAGCGUUGCUCGGAAUCACUGGGCGUAAAGCGCACGUAGGCGGAUUGCUAAGUCAGGGGUGAAAUCCUGGAGCUCAACUCCAGAACUGCCUUUGAUACUGGCGACCUUGAGUCCGGGAGAGGUGAGUGGAACUGCGAGUGUAGAGGUGAAAUUCGUAGAUAUUCGCAAGAACACCAGUGGCGAAGGCGGCUCACUGGCCCGGUACUGACGCUGAGGUACGAAAGCGUGGGGAGCAAACAGG